AAACAACAGAGGAGGAGUGCAGUGGCCCAGGGCCACAACACACAGAGUAGCAUCACAAAAGAACUACAGACUCUUCACAACCUGCUCAAACUCUUGGUACAGGACCUCACCACACGGGUCAAGAAGGUUUCUGUCUCAUUUCUACUCUGAAGCUCACCUUCUCCUGCUCAAACUGUUGACAAAUGUUUCUGCUGCUCUACAGUCUGGUCUCCAGAACUUUCUAAAAACUCUCAAAGUCUCUUCUGCUGCAGGUUGCUUUGUAGAACUGUUCCAGAAAACCUCACUAAACCACAUGGAGGGGCCUCAAGAUAGUCGUCCAAAUGAAACCGUACAAAAACCAAACUAGCACAAGCCAAACGCUAAAGUCUCCUGCAGCCUACCAGAGAACCUCUGAGAACAGAGAAUCAGGACAGGAACUCUUACCUUCUGGACAACCAACGUUGGUUCAUAAACAAGAAUACAGAAUGUGUCUGACCAAAAACCUCUGAAGACUCACUACAGCCAAGAUAAAGACACAACUCAGCUGCACCAAAUCCACUAAUCACUGCACACAUUAGCACCAUGUGCUAACUGUGGCUAAAGAACCACAUUUACCAAGACAACUAUCCAGUACAAAGCCCUAAAACACACCAAGAAACACAUUAAAGACGAUUUUACUGCUGGAAGCUGCAAGCCAACGCCUAAAGAACAAACUGAAGCAAUGGAGCCAAACACAGCUCAGUGGUGAAGAGAAGCAGAGGAAAUGUUUGGCUGCAGCUAAAUAAAGCAGGAAGAGACUGAGCUGCUCAGGUGUUCCUGAUAACGCCUAGCAGCCACCUGGACAGCCAAUAGGAACACAGCUUACUGGAAGUCCAGAGGGCUGGGUUAGUGAAGUAAAUUUAGUUUAAAAUUGAGGCAGAAAGUUAAUAAAGAAAGUUGAAAACCACCUUCUGCUACCUGAAAUCUCUGAGUUUUCACACAAAGAACACCUGAACAUGUCAAACUGGUUCCAUAGUAGAACCCUCAUUGUAAAAACGUCAUAGUAUGGUGUGUUGCUCAAAAAACAUUACCACCCGG
ensembl:lncRNA